UAAAUACUCCCUCCGUCCGGAAAUACUUGUCCUAGGAAUGGAAUUUUUAGGACAAGUAUUUCCGGGCGGAGGGAGUAUAAU
rnacentral:pre_miRNA from 1 species